UACAGAGGUCUCGAGCGUUAUGCGGAAUCACUGGGCUUAAAGCGUGUGUAGGUGGAUCGUUAAGUACCUUGUGAAAUCCCACGGCUUAACCGUGGAACUGCUUGGUAUACUGGCGGUCUUGAGCCAGCUAGGGGCUACCGGAACAAAUGGUGGAGCGGUGAAAUGCGUAGAUAUCAUUUGGAACGCCAAUGGUGAAAACAGGUAGCUGGGGCUGUGCUGACACUGAGACACGAAAGCCAGGGGAGCAAACGGG
rnacentral:rRNA from 1 species